rnacentral:lncRNA from 1 species
AGGAUCUAACCUGGCCAAAAACAAGACCAACCAGUUCAGCCUGCAUGCCUGUGCCCGCCUCCUUUGCACCAACCGGCAGAGCCAGUCCCACGUCCUCGCCACCUCUCUGCCCCACCAUCACACCCUGACAUCUAGCCCAGGGCCCUGGGGCAUAAGGGUGUGUGCUCUCCAGGUGGAUGUGAGCCUUUAUAAGAUUCCCUGUCACACGCUGCAGACACAUCAUCCAGUCAUCAUUAAUAAACACAGGCUCUGCCACCAGUGACCACCAGCCCACAAGCAGACAGCAUGGAUAUUGCAGGGGAUCUCCUGAAGACCAAGGCCAGUGGCGUCAUUGACCAGGCCGCUGCUACUGCCAAGGACUCUGUGCAGAAACUGGCAGGAGGAAAGAAGAAGGAAGAGGAAAAGAAGAAAACCCUAGGGGAAACAGUGAAUGAAUCUGCUGGGGCUGUGGCCGACUCCACCCUGAAGAGCGCCAAGGAGCAGGCAUUCUCCAUUGGGAAGAAGCUGCUCAGCUAACAGUCUCCACUGCACAGAUGGACCCCCUCAAGCCUCACACUGCCCUGUCACCUGAUUCCCACCUAUUCUCAGGCAUCCCAGUGUAGCCCAGCAGACGGCGGUGGGAGGUGCUUAAUCUGAGCUGGACUGUUUAGCAUUUGCAGGAUUUCAUUAAAAUCUGCAGGAGUUGCCAGACUAGGCAGAAUGAGAUUGCACAGCACUAUGAUUAAUCAAACUUAAAUUUAAAUAAAAACAUAAUAUGUUUAACUGUUUUUCUUUGUCCCUUUCCUUUGUGGUACAAUGCAGGCCAAUGGGUCCCACAUUAUUUGGGUUAAAUCACCAACCAUAAAGACUGUGAAUUUUUAGAAUACAAUAUUUU